rnacentral:misc_RNA from 1 species
AAGUCGUAACAAGGUCUCCGUUGGUGAACCAGCGGAGGGAUCAUUACAGAGUUGCAAAACUCCCAACCCUUUGUGAACGAACCUACCAGUUGCUUCGGCGGAAGGCCCUUCAGAGGCGGCCUGCCGAAGGUCUACAAACUCUUGAUUUUUUGGCAUCUCUGAGUAGCUUAUAAAAAUAAGUUAAAACUUUCAACAACGGAUCUCUUGGUUCUG